GUGCCAGCCGCCGCGGUAAUACGUAAGGGGGAAGCGUUAUCCGGAAUUACUGGGCAUAAAGGGUACGCAGGCUGUUAAGCAAGCCAAUAGUGAAAGCCAUAGGCCUAACCUAUGUAAGCUAAUGGAACUGCUUAACUUGAGUACAGUAGAGGAAAGUGGAAUUCCUAGUGUAGUAGUGAAAUGCGUAGAUAUUAGGAAGAACAUCAGUAGCGAAGGCGACUUUCUGGACUGUAACUGACGCUGAGGUACGAAAGCGUGGGGAGCGAACAGGAUUAGAUACCCUAGUAGUCC
rnacentral:rRNA from 1 species